UACGUAGGCAGCAAGCGUUGUUCGGAGUUACUGGGCGUAAAGGGUGCGUAGGCGGCUUCUUAAGUCUGGUGUGAAAUCUCCCGGCUCAACUGGGAGGGUGCGCCGGAUACUGAGGGGCUAGAGUGUGGGAGAGGAAAGUGGAAUUCCUGGUGUAGCGGUGAAAUGCGUAGAUAUCUGGAGGAACACCGGUGGCGAAGGCGGCAUCCUGGACCAUUACUGACGCUGAGGAGCGAAAGCCAGGGGAGCAAACGGG
rnacentral:rRNA from 1 species